UGGUACACGUUCGGUGGAGGAACCAGACUGGAUGUUGGAAGUGAUGCCCGUCCCACCCUGACGGUGCUGCCCCCCUCCAGUGAGCAGCUGCAGCAGGGGGAGGCCACGCUCAUGUGCCUGGCCAACAAGGGCUUCCCCUCAGACUGGAGUCUGUCCUGGAAGGUGGACGGCAGCAGCAGCAGCAUCAGCUGGGAGCAGAGCAGCAGCCCCGGGGUGCUGGAGAAGGACGGCCACUACAGCUGGAGCAGCACCCUGAGGCUCUCUGCAGACCAGUGGAGGAAGGUGGGCUCUGUGACCUGUGAGGCCACCCAGGGCUCCCAGACUCCGCUCUCAGAGACUCUGAGGAGAGACCAGUGUCCCCAGUCCUGACCUGACUCACUGGUUUUACUCUGCUGCUGCUCUCACUCUGCACUCUGUAACUCUCUCUUUCUCUCAUGUUCUUGCUUGUGUUGAUGCUUUCAAAUUUUUAAAGCAAUAAAGAUUUGAUU